rnacentral:lncRNA from 1 species
AGAAAAGGAAAAUUAAAUAAAAGAUGAAUAUGAAAACUCUGCUUUCCAAAACUUCCCAGUGACCCCAAAUGUAAGAUACAUGAGCAGCUAAGGUUUACUGUGGAAACCUCAAAUUCUCUUUAGAUGACUGAUUGAUGUAGUGCAAUGCUGCUGUUUACUAGUCAUCCAUCAAUAAUCAUCAAUGCAAAUACUGUCCUCAGAAGCCUGCAAGGAUCCCACUUACGAGAACCACCUGCAGGAAGAACUCUUGCUUACACAAACCCAAGGUAGAAAGGAAAUGUAUGCUGGUAUAAUAAGGUUCUAGCUCUGUUGAUUGUUGAGAGAAGAGCACCAUUGCUACAGUCCCUCCCCCUAGAGAGUUUGGUCUGUUUUUAAUUUCUUUUCCCACUGAGGUAAGGAGCCUCCUUUCUCCAAAUCUUUCACCUUUGAGGCUGCUGCUGAGAAGGAUAUUCCCCGUUGUAAACUUUGGCUCCCAUCAGUAAAAAGUCCCAUAUCUGAA